rnacentral:rRNA from 1 species
CUGCAAGGUGCUGCAUGGUUGUCGUCAGCUCGUGCCGUGAGGUGUCGGGUUAAGUCCCAUAACGAGCGCAACCCUUAUCGUUAGUUGCCAGCUGGUAAAGCAGGGGACUCUAGCGAAACUGCCACCGUAAGGUGAGAGGAAGGUGGGGAUGACGGUCAAAUCAGCACGGCCCUUAUGUCCAGGGCUACACACGUGUUACAAUGGCCGGCACAGAGGGCAGCUACCUGGUGACAGGAUGCUAAUCUCGAAAACCGGUCUCAGUUCGGAUCGAAGUCUGCAACUCGACUUCGUGAAGCUGGAUUCGCUAGUAAUCGCGCAUCAGCCAUGGCGCGGUGAAUACGUUCCCGGGCCUU